UACGGGGGGGGCAAGCGUUGUUCGGAAUUACUGGGCGUAAAGGGUUCGUAGGUGGCUGGCUAAGUCAGACGUGAAAUCCCUCAGCUUAACUGGGGAACUGCGUCUGAGACUGGUCGGCUCGAGUGCAGGAGAGGAACGCGGAAUUCCAGGUGUAGCGGUGAAAUGCGUAGAUAUCUGGAGGAACACCGGAGGCGAAGGCGGCGUGCUGGACCUUUUCUGACGCUGAGGCGCGAAAGCUAGGGGAGCAAACGGG
rnacentral:rRNA from 1 species